UGAUCUAUGUUUCUUGGGGAUCGUUUUUUGUAACAUAAAGCAAAAUUUGAGUUCCGUUUUUGGAGCAACAAAAUAGGAAAAAGAGACCAUCUGGAGAGCAUUCUGUCCAAUCCCUUCAAUUUCACAGAGGAGGAAACUGACAAAGCACAAGAGCUUUUGGAAUCAUUCGUUUAAUGCCAACCUGGAGGAUUCCCGGAGUCCCUGGCCCUCAUCCCUCUCCGUGCCCCCCUGCUGUGUUUCUUAAGGGAAUAACAAGACUUACAGAAUUAGGAAAAGGGAGAAGACGUUUCUGCAACACCUCUGUAUCCCCGGUAGGCCUGGGUCA